UACAGAGGGGGCAAGCGUUGUUCGGAAUUACUGGGCGUAAAGGGCGCGUAGGCGGUCUUGUAAGUCUCGUGUGAAAUCCCUCGGCUUAACUGAGGAACUGCACGGGAUACUGCUUGACUUGAGUUCGGGAGAGGGAAGCGGAAUUCCGGGUGUAGCGGUGAAAUGCGUAGAUAUCAGGAGGAACACCGAUGGCGAAGGCAGGUCUCUGGGUCCCUACCGACGCUGGGGUGCGAAAGCAUGGGGAGCGAACAGG
rnacentral:rRNA from 1 species